rnacentral:lncRNA from 1 species
UAUAAAUUUUCGGAAGAACUUCAAAUACCACCCCUGUGGCCUGUGGUUUCGCACUUUUAUAUAUUACUACCUUAUGGUCUAAAGUGUAUCAAUUUAGUAUUCCGUGGUUUCAUUUUUCUCUUUUUAUUAUCCCGUCCAUUAAUUUUUUUCGUUAAAUUAGUGACAAAGUUAAAACUAAAAAAAUACUAAAGUGAAUAUAUAAUAAACCUAGGUGGGGUAUCUGAAGUUUUUUGUAUAUAAUUUAACGAAAUAUUAAAGGAGGAGCUAAUGAAAAGAAAAAAAUUAAACCAUAUGGUACUAAAUUGAUAUACUUUAAACCAUAUGGUACUAAAAUAAAAAAGUACGAAACUACACGCGUGAUAUUUGAAGUUUACCCUAAAUUUUAAUGUAUAGAUCAGACCCCCUCAAUAUAUAAUAU